rnacentral:rRNA from 1 species
UACGUAGGUGGCGAGCGUUGUUCGGAUUCACUGGGCGUAAAGGGCGUGUAGGUGGUUAUGUAAGUCGAAUGUGAAAUCCCAUGGCUCAACCAUGGAAGUGCAUUCGAAACUACAUGACUAGAGUAUAGGAGAGGAGAGCGGAAUUCUCGGUGUAGCGGUGAAAUGCGUUGAGAUCGAGAAGAACACCUGCGGUGAAGACGGCUCUCUGGACUGUUACUGACACUGAGGCGCGAAAGCGUGGGUAGCAAAC